rnacentral:lncRNA from 1 species
UCAGGCUUGUUUAUCAUAUAGUCAACUACCAGCCAGUAAGAAGCAGGGGUCAGGCUGCCCACUGGCUCUGACCACCCUGAUGACCACUGGCUUCUGGCACCAUUGCCUCUGGAAGUAAAAGAAUGUACUUGGCUGCCGAAGAUGGCCACAGUGAAGCAAAGCUCCCUGGUGAGGUGCAUUGAAUUUAUAACUCUCCUUUUUGUGAUGGGGCCAUAUUUCCCAGCUCGAAUCAGACCCAGAAUGUUCUGUGAAAAAAAAAGGAACAGAGAAUUAUAUCGAUCGCCCAUGUUUUGUAAUAACUAAAAUCCAGUAACACACCUUGUUAUUUAAGUGCAGAAGGGGGAGAAGAAAAAAAAACCUCCCCACUGUAAAUACAGGUAUUGGAAGGCAGAUGAAGAAAUUACAUUGCAAAACAUGAAGAUGCUAAUUCGAUAUGCAUGUGUUAUCAAUACCAGGGCAUCAGUCUGGAAUAUUGAAUGGCUUUCCCCCACUGAUUGGACUCAACCUUCUUUGCCUUCUGGUUGAAUGGAGAUAUUUCAAAGGAAGAAUACCAAUGUGACCUGAAGGAAAGAUUUUUCUUCUCUGAUUUAAAACUGGACAAUAAAAACAUGAUUUUUUUAUAAAGGGAAAAGCAAUUUGCAAUUAUGUGUAUUUAAUAGAUAUACAGCGGAGGCAUCUUUGUCCCGUGGUGCUUCUGGAAAUAGCGACUGAAGAAAAAUUAGACUGAAGUUUGCUGGACCAGGAGGAGAUCAGAUGGGUAGUCCUGAUCAAUCCCCCAAUCAUCCUUUAAGUUGCUGAUGUUCCAGGUCAUUGCACAUGGCGUGGAACCACAGAGCCCUGUGCUCCUCUCUCAAGGAGACAGAGUGUUGAAAUAUAUCUGUGAUUGAAAAUACUUAAGUGCGAGGCCUCCAGCGCUCUCCCCUUUCAAGGUGACAGUAAUUGAAGGAUGGAGCCAUGCAAUUCUGACAUUUAUAAUCCGGCUGUGGAAAAGGUCAGCUUCUUUUUGGAUCUACGCUGGAGCCGGUGGGAAAAGAG